rnacentral:rRNA from 1 species
GACGAACGCUGGCGGCGUGCUUAACACAUGCAAGUCGAACGGAAAGGCCCUUCGGGGUACUCGAGUGGCGAACGGGUGAGUAACACGUGGGUGAUCUGCCCUGCACUUUGGGAUAAGCCUGGGAAACUGGGUCUAAUACCGAAUAGGACCACGCGCUUCAUGGUGUGUGGUGGAAAGCUUUUGCGGUGUGGGAUGGGCCCGCGGCCUAUCAGCUUGUUGGUGGGGUAAUGGCCUACCAAGGCGACGACGGGUAGCCGGCCUGAGAGGGUGACCGGCCACACUGGGUCUGAGAUACGGCCCAGACUCCUACGGGAGGCAGCAGUGGGGAAUAUUGCACAAUGGGCGCAAGCCUGAUGCAGCGACGCCGCGUGAGGGAUGACGGCCUUCGGGUUGUAAACCUCUUUCAAUAGGGACGAAGCGCAAGUGACGGUACCUAUAGAAGAAGCACCGGCCAACUACGUG